rnacentral:rRNA from 1 species
CCUACGGGUGGCAGCAGUGGGGGAUAUUGCACAAUGGGGGGAACCCUGAUGCAGCGACGCCGCGUGGGUGAAGGAGCGUUUCGGCGCGUAAAGCCAUAUCGGCAGGGAAGAAGGAGGACGGUACCUGACUAAGAAGCACAGGCUAACUACGGGCCAGCAGCCGCGGUAAUACGUAGGGGGCAAGCGUUAUCCGGAUUUACUGGGUGUAAAGGGGGGGCAGACGGCAGCGCAAGCCAGGAGGGAAAGCACGGGGCCUAACCCCGGGACUGCCGUUGAAACUGGGCGGCUUGAGUGCGGGAGGGGCAUGCGGAAUGCGUGGUGUAGCGGUGAAAUGCGUAGAUAUCACGAAGAACACCGAUUGCGAAGGCAGCCUGCCGGCCUUCGACUGACGCUGAUGCACGAAAGCGUGGGUAUCAAACAGGAUUAGAUACCCCAGUAGUC